AUUAUUGACCGUGCGAUCAAUUCAAUCCAACGUUUCUCAUUUAGUUACUAGAACCUUCACUCCCUAUUUAUUUACUGCCUAAAACGCCUUUCUGUCCUCAGUUUCACUCGUGCUUAGCACACUCGUUCUUCCUUGGGUUUAUCCAUUUACUGUAAGUGUAGAAAAGCUGAAAAUGGUGAAGAAGUACCCAACUGUGAACGAGGAGUACCUGAAGGCCGUUGAGAAAUGCAAGAAGAAGCUCAGAGGCCUCAUCUCCGAG